UUCCAGACUCCUACGGGAGGCAGCAGUGGGGAAUAUUGCACAAUGGGGGAAACCCUGAUGCAGCGACGCCGCGUGAGUGAAGAAGUAUUUCGGUAUGUAAAGCUCUAUCAGCAGGGAAGAUAAUGACGGUACCUGAGUAAGAAGCCCCGGCUAACUACGUGCCAGCAGCCGCGGUAAUACGUAGGGGGCAAGCGUUAUCCGGAUUUACUGGGUGUAAAGGGAGCGUAGACGGCAUGGCAAGUCUGAAGUGAAAGCCCGGGGCUCAACCGCGGGACUGCUUUGGAAACUGUUAAGCUGGAGUGCAGGAGAGGUAAGUGGAAUUCCUAGUGUAGCGGUGAAAUGCGUAGAUAUUAGGAGGAACGCCAGUGGCGAAGGCGGCUUACUGGACUGUAACUGACGUUGAGGCUCGAAAGCGUGGGGAGCAAACAGGAUUAGAUACCCUCGUACA
rnacentral:rRNA from 1 species